GACGAACGCUGGCGGCGUGCUUAACACAUGCAAGUCGAACGGAAAGGCCCUGCUUGCAGGGUACUCGAGUGGCGAACGGGUGAGUAACACGUGGGUGAUCUGCCCUGCACUUCGGGAUAAGCCUGGGAAACUGGGUCUAAUACCGGAUAGGAGCCAUUUUUAGUGUGAUGGUUGGAAAGUUUUUUCGGUGUAGGAUGAGCUCGCGGCCUAUCAGCUUGUUGGUGGGGUAAUGGCCUACCAAGGCGGCGACGGGUAGCCGGCCUGAGAGGGUGGACGGCCACAUUGGGACUGAGAUACGGCCCAGACUCCUACGGGAGGCAGCAGUGGGGAAUAGUGCACAAUGGGCGCAAGCCUGAUGCAGCGACGCCGCGUGGGGGAGGACGGCCUUCGGGUUGGAAACUCCUUUCGCUAGGGACGAAGCUUUUUGUGACGGUACCUAGAGAAGAAGCACCGGCUAACUACGUG
rnacentral:rRNA from 1 species